UCCAAACGGUCGAUAAAACGGAAAAACCUAAAACUCAAAGUCAGCGCGGGCCUGGGAAAAAAUAGUAAUAGACAACGGCAAGAGAAAUAGGAUAUUUUGAGCAGUGAAGUUUUGAGAAUUUGUGACAAAGCAGAAAUCCUAAUUGCUGAACACAUUAGCAACACAGAGUGCACAGCACGAAGUGGCGCUUGGAAAGAUACAACAAUUUAUAUUUAUAUAUUUCUUUGAAAGUGGUCACUAGAAAGAAGGAAAAAAGAACAACAACUACAAAUAAAUAAUAAAAGUAUAUAAAAAUAUCAGUGAAAGGAGCAUAAUAUUGGUUUAAAAAAAGAAAAGCAAAACCACAACAAAAACAAUAGCAGCAGUCUCUGUUAUCGUUUGUUGUCCUACAUUAGCUAUUCUGCGAACACAACGGAAGUGAUUAACGCCAACUAGGACAAUAUGACACGUGUGCGACGAAUUGUGUUGGCGCAAUAGUAACGCUGGGAACUUAUAAUGACAGCGCUAAAAAAUAUGCAGCAGAUUAAGAGCAAUAAAGAUUCAGACGCCUAAAAGUAUGCAGAGUUUAUACAAAGCAUAUAGAAUUGUUGCAUAAUUGAGUGCGCUGAAAAUAUUGACCAACCAAACCAGACUACGACAAUAGAGAAGAACAAAAAGGUCUCCGAGUGCCGUAAAUACUUAUUAAACCGCUGAAAAGGUUAAUUACGAAAUAUAACGAGGAUAAGAAGAAUAAGCGAGAAAGCAGCAAUUAAGCGCAGUGAAGGAACAUUAUUUAUAAUACAGCAGUAACAAAACGUUAUAACUAAAACUAAACACUACAAGGAUAUUGAGCAACAAGCACACAGAACAUGAGAAAGCCAACUUACAGCCUACACACAGGACUUAAAAAGGAAUUGCAAAGCAAGAAAUAAUUAUAAAAUAAUUAAAACGGCAUUACAAGCACCGUAUACAACUACGGUUAUGUCCAUACAAUGACCAUAGCGGAAGCUUUAACUAAAAGCUGCUUUAGCGAGGCAAGUGCACAGCAAGUAACCAAGCCAAAUCAAUGUAAAGCACAACAACACAAAGCAGUUUAAGAGACGCUAAGCUACGUGACAGGUUCUCAAAACGAAGCAGUGCAAUUUUUGAGAUCGAACUCAACACACACUGCGGAAAAUUUUGCAGUUCAAAGAGUGUGCUUCCGUAAAUUUCUGAAAAUUGAUUUUAAGUAAGCGAACAUUACGUGGCGAACAUGGCGGAAGGCGAUAAUUACGAUGAUGAGUUGGUCUCCAGCAACCCAAAUCAACGCAAUUGGCGAGGCAUUUUCAUCGCUUUAUUGGUUAUAAUAAUUGUACUUGCGCUAAUUGUUACCUCAGUGGUACUUCUCACACCACCCGAUGAGGGGCCGCGCGUCAAGGGUCAGCGCAUCAAACUGCAAGACAUCGUGGAUGGACUCUUUAUGCCGCAGCGUGCCAACGGUACUUGGAUAAAUGGCGAGGAAUUUCUUUAUCAAGAUCACUGGGGCAGAAUCGUGUUGUUAAAUGCAUCUAAUCUAAAUGAGCGAGUGCUCAUGUCAAAUGUGACAUAUAAAACACUUGCACCAUAUACAUUUUCUAUAUCAGCGGAUAAACGGUAUAUCUUAUUGGCACAGAACGUCGUAAAACUAUUUCGGCAUUCAUUUUUGGCACAAUACACGCUCUUCGAUAUACAAACCAGUGAAAGCAUCAAAUUGAAAAUCGAUGCACAUAGCGAUGAGUGGCCCUAUCUACACUAUGCCCGCUUCGUAAGCACUCAAGCGGCUAACAGAGACAAUGCAAGCACCACCUCCAACAGCAUCACAACCGGUGGCAAUGCGCUAGUGAUGGUUUAUAACUAUGACAUCUACUACUGCCAAGGACCACGCUCCACCAAUCAUGUGUACCGCAUAACGCGCGACGCAGUGCCCGGCAUCGUCUACAACGGCAUACCCGAUUGGCUUUAUGAAGAGGAAAUCCUGCACUCGAAUAAUGCAAUUUGGCUUUCGGAGAAUGGACACUUAAUGCUUUAUGGCGCGUUCAAUGACUCGCUGGUGCAGGAACAACAUUUCGCUUGGUAUGGCACAACAAGUGGUGGCAAUCCGAAUGCGUAUCUUUAUCCGGAAAUCAGAUCAUUAAGAUAUCCUAAACCAGGCACGCAAAAUCCCAUUGCCAAGCUACGCGUGGCCGAUAUACAAAAUCCAGAAGAUAUUAAAAUAAGAGAUCUACAACCGCCACAAGUGCUGCAAAAUGAAGAUCACUACUUUAGCAGCGCCAGUUGGGUGAGUGAAACGGAGAUCUGUGUGGUUUGGCUGAAUCGUCCACAGAAUAUUUCGGUGGUCAGCAUCUGUAAGAGUCCAUUGUUUAUAUGCGUUGAGACGCAUCGUGUGAGCGGCGAUGGACGCGGUUGGGUGGACACAGUAUCGGUGCCAUUGUUUGCAGCGAAUGCAACUUCCUACGUUGCCAUAUCGCCAUUGCGUGACGGCGCUUCCGGUUACUUCCGGCAUAUUGUGCACGUUCAUGUUGCCAAAAAGCGCGUACUACCACUAACGCACGGCCAGUACGAGGUCAAUGAGUUGCUACAUUGGGACCAGCUGAAUAACUGGAUCUACUUUUUGGGCACACCGGAACGCUUGCCGGGACAACAGCACCUGUAUCGCGUGUCCGCUUUGCCACCGCGACACGGUUCCGCACACCAGCUGCCCGACUGUUUAACGUGUCCGACUCCAUUGCGCAGCAGCUACCAGGGUGCCGAGGGUCAUACCAAAUCGCCACCGAAACUGGUGACCGCUUGGGAUGACGACUGGGAGGACUCGGAAGAACGUCAAACUUUACCACCACCCACGUUGACGCCGGAACACAAGCACCCGACGGCAUCACACGGCCACUCGGAGCACAAUGAAUGCCUCUAUCACACAGCCAAAUUUCCGUUGGCGCUGCAGGCACGUUAUGUGCUCAUCGAAUGUUUGGGUCCAGUGGUGCCAACAACUAGCGUUUACGCCCUAACAGGCUUCUAUGCCGGCGAGUAUGGUAAGAAGCUGUUACCGAAGAAAAGUGAAGCUUUGGAACUACUUGUGACUGUGCAGAAUAAUACGCGUUUGAAGGAGAAGAUGUUGCGUACUGCGCUGCCACAGGUAAAAACUUUCCCGGUCAUGAUAUCGGGCGGUUAUCAUGCGCAGGUGCGUCUAUAUUUGCCGCCGGUGCUGCGUGAGGAUGAGAUUACACGUUAUCCGACGAUACUGCACGUGUACUCGGGACCGGGUACACAACUGGUGACGGAGAAGUGGCACAUCGACUGGAAUACUUAUUUGUCGGGGACGAAGGAUUAUAUAGUCAUUGAGAUCGAUGGACGUGGUUCAGCCGGACAAGGUUAUCAGCUCUUGCAUGAGAUCUACAAGCGUCUCGGUUCGGUUGAAGUGUCCGAUCAGCUGGAAGUGAGUGAAUAUUUGCGUGAUAAUUUGCAUUUUAUUGACGGUCGUCGCAUGGGUGUGUGGGGCUGGAGUUAUGGCGGUUAUGCGGCCGCAUUGGCAUUGGCGGGCACACAGUCAAUUUUCCAAUGCGGCAUCAGUGUGUCGCCGGUGACGAAUUGGAAGCUUUACGACUCCACAUACGCUGAACGCUAUCUUAGCUUCCCGAAUGUGACCGAUAACUACAAAGGCUACGAGGAGGGUGAUCUCUCCAAGUACGUGGAUAAUUUGCGCGAUCGUCAAUUCCUUUUGGUGCACGGCACCGCCGAUGAUAAUGUGCAUGUGCAGCAAUCGAUGGUAUUAGCGCGUGCGCUCACCAAUAAAGGUGUACUCUACAAACAGCAAAUCUACCCCGAUGAGGGACACACGCUGUCGGGCGUGAAGCGGCAUCUCUACCGCUCAAUGACGAGUUUCUUCGAGGACUGUUUUAAGAAGCUGCUUGAGCAGCAACUGAGUAAUCAAACAGAUUCCGCGGAUUUCCUAGACUUUCAUAGUCUCUAUGUAAACAUUUAAACGCGAAGUUAUGCGAGUGCCUCCAUCGCACACACAUACCCAUACAGAAAGACACACGUUUGGUAUCGUGUAUGUGAGAUCCAUUAUUUAAGGUGCCGCCCGAAUCGAAAGCUGGACUUGGAAAUGGCGGUGGUAGUGAUAUGCAACAGCAAUAAAGUUACGAAAAUGCUUUAAUAUUGAUUAAUUUUCUUUGAAUACUAGUAGAGUGGAAAAUACUAAAGCGCCUGAAAGUAUGCUCAAAAAGUUUUGAUUACUUACUAUGAUUUGCUUUGAAUAAUUUUGAAGUUAUGUACAGUAUUUUGGGCAUCGCAAAAUCAAAAUUACAUACAAUAACAAAACAAGUCGAAAAUUACAAAUUUUUAUGGUUGUGAAAUAAAUACAAAAGCAACAACAGCAACUAAAUGCACGAGCGCCAAAAAGUAGACAAAGCGAAACAAAACCAAACAUUAACUUAACUAAUUUUAAAUAUAUUUGCUGUCUUAAUAAAUUUACAUAUUAUUUAAAAAGAUGCUAAGAUUGCAGAAGGGAUUCUGAAAAAAGCUCUUUAGGGUAAUAACCAAAGUGCAAACGCCUAGAAGCACACUAUUUUUUCUUCAGUUUUAAAGUAAAACUACCUGUAGACAUUUGUUUUCCGCGCACACUCCCAUAAUUAUUAGAAACUUAUUUUUAAUUUUAAAAAUUUCAAUUUUUAAUGAAAAACUAUACCUACACGAGAAUAACCAGUAUUUUAAGCGUUGACUUAAGCAUUGUGUAAAUUUUAAAAAUUGAGCAAAUAGCAUAAAAAGUACAUUUCUAAAGUAGUAGUGAAAAUAUUUAAGAGAUACUAAAAAGUUUUUGAAUAAAAAACUAUAACUGAAUGAUAUAAUUAUAAUAAUAAAUUAUAAAAAAAAAUUAAAUCAAAAUUAAGAAAGCGAAAGUAAGUAAAAAAAAAACAAAUUAAAAUUAUUGAAAAAAAAAUAAACACUGCAAUAUGAAAA